rfam:Triticum urartu cultivar G1812 contig754035, whole genome shotgun sequence.
UUCAUACUCCCUCCGUCCGAAAAAACUUAUCCCUUAAAUGGAUGAAUCUAAGACCAAGUUAGUGCUAGAUACAUUCAUUUGAGAGAUAAGCUUGGGACAAUUUUUUUCGGACGGAGAGAGUGUUAA